UGUAUCUGUGUAGCUGUUUACCUUCCAGAUGGCCUACAGGUUCUAUACAGAAUCAGCAUUAAAGUCUGCUAGCAUAAGGUAUUAGGCAGGGAACAUUUGCUUGAAAAAAACCCCCAGCUUCUCAAAAUGCAUAAAUAUUCUGUUAUGUCAUGUUAUUAAAAUGCAGAGAUUGGUCAGUGGAUGUUUUUGAGCCACAAUCCAGAUCGUCAAAUGCUUUUUUGCUUAAAAAGGGGGAUAGGCUUUUAGAAGAUGCCCCUUCUUGCCUAGUUGGUAACAUCAGGGCAGGGUCUGCACCAAUACCAGAUGUUUGGCAUCAUGCAGGGAGCUGCUCAGGGCUAGAAUUUCCGUUUUGCAGAAGCCAGUGGAUGGUUUUGACAUCUGAUAUCUUCUGGAAAUACCUGGGUUGUUCUUCAGUGAGGGACAAAGACCUGAGGAUGACAAUGGAACGCCUGGGGGAAGGCUCUUGCCUCAGCCCAGCUUCCCCUCUCUGGGCUGCAACUUUGAAGGCUCUCCCCAUGCUUUUUCUCCACCCAGGGCACUGCCUCCACACUCAGCCAGAGGAGCUGCAGCCAUCCACAGCACACUGCCCUGAUGUGAGCCCACAGCGAGCAGAGGUGUUCUCUUCCCAAGUGAAUUUGUCCCCGUGCACCACAGCGUGGGCCAGGUGUCAGCUUCUGCACGGGAAAGGGUAACGUGAGCUCUGGAGAGACACAUGGGAUUUACAGGCAUGGUAGAGGUCAGCCAGGAAGACACUGCUGUUUGGAAGAGGGAUGCUAAAUCCCCUUACAGAUUUAAAUGCACACAUUGCUCCUGGAAAGCCAUUUUGUAAGUCUUGAAUAUUGAACUAAGGAAAUAUUUAUAAUAAAACAAAUAAUUUCCUGGAAAUUAGGGCAAAUUGUGGACCUUUAUCUGAAAUUAUGCAGAAUAUCAUUGUUCUGAUGAUCUAAUAGACUGAAGACAACUUCUAACUGCAGUGCUAAUGGCACUGCUACCACUGAAUAACAGCUCAGCUCCUCUGAGCUCAAUGAAUCUAGAGUUGUUUAAGAUGAAGUGUUUAUUUCAGCAAUUCAAGGAUGAAAAGCAUUCUAGGGAACACUUGAAAGAAAUCUUUGUAUGUUGCUGCAAAAAUUAUACAGAUUAAACCUAUUGAAAAAAUCCUAACUUUGCCCCGAAAAAAAACCAAACCAAACCAAACCAAACCAAACCAAACCAAACCAAACCAAACCAAACAAAAAAACCAACAAAACAAACAAACAAACAAACAACAAAAAAAAAGGCAAAAAACAAAAAACAAAACAAAACAAACCCCCAAAAAACAAAAAAACCAAAAAAAACCCCAAAAAAACCCAAAAAAAACCCAGAUCUGGAGCAAUAGGUGAUCAAGUCCCCUCUUGUAUGGUUGUGUGGCUCCAACAUAAACAUGUGGUGUCCUGUUCUCCCUCUAUUGCCACUGGAGAAAACUUGGGAAGCUAAUUUAGACUUGGUGCAAGUGAAGCUAAUAAUCCUCAGGGACUCAGAGUGCUCUCGGGUUGCCACAGUGCUCUGACCACGGGCCAUGGCACACUACCGUCCAGUUGCCAACACAGCAUUGCUGCUGGGAGCUGGGCACAAACUCUCAGGCAGCUGUGGAAAUGACUGAUCUGAUGGGUGGAUCCUGCCAGUAAUCUAUAACCUUAUAUAGAUUUAUGUAAACCUUUAUAAAUCAUUACCAGCUUAUCUUAGUUACAAGCUGAUGUCUUCAAAUACAGUUUGGGAACAUGAGGGUUUCCUUUCUAACUGUACAGGAAUGUUGAACAGAGGACUGGGAGAAGGUUAAGCAUCGUAGAGACCAAGACUUUACUUUUAACACAAAGCAUUGUCGUAAAUCUCCUGAAAAUUCACUUGACACUCAACGUGCCGCAGGUUUUUGGAAAUGUGAAUGCAUUAAUCAUAGGUAAGGAGAUGGAGCUGCAGUGUGCAGCAGAAAGAGGGAACUGGUAUCUGAAGAUCAAGGCGUGGCUGGUUCUUCCUCAGUACAAACAGCAGUCCCUUAUGGCUGUGUUCUCUGUGGUUUCAGUUCCCUUCCAGUUAUGUCCCCCUAUCUUGGUUAUGCAUGCUACAUAAAGAGUCUCCAAUAGAAAUUAAUCAAGUUUACAAGACAGAGUUGAACCCUGGAUGAACAAGUUCUCCUUGACAACAGCCAAUAAAUGGAAGAGCCACAAAACUAAGAUGGGAAGCUAAUUGCAGUCCCUGGAAUCUGCCACUCUGCUUUUUUAGAAGGAAAAUGCAUUAUAUUCCAGAAAUGUAGUAAAACGAGUACUGUUUUGGUUUGAUAGAGCUGUGGUAUAUUUGUAUAUCCAAACCAGACCUUUGCUACUGAAUCUCUGAAUGCUGGGGCUAUUAGGUCAUGCUGUUAUCAUUUCUAAAUAAGCAAUCAGCUAAUUAAGUUCUUUGGUAAAAAUUCACAUGCGCCUUUUGCUGUGUCUCACAGCUUCCCCUACAGCAGUAGUUAAAAGUUGUAGUUGCUUUUUUGUCUUGUUUUGCUUGGAUGGAGCACUCUGGUUGCUAUCAAAGGAGCAAAGUUCAGAGCAAUCACAAUGCAAAACUCAAGAGCUAAAAAUAAAGAACAGGUUAAAUGCUCAACACAAAAUUGGGCACAAUAACCACUGAAGUCAAAUGCAGCUCAGCUCCAGUUCUUGCCCGUGUCUGUCUGCAGGAACUCUUGUAUCAGGCUUAGUGGCCAUAAACUGUACAGUCAGAUUUGAAUUUAAUAAACCUUCAGCAAUAUGUUUCACAAAACUCUGACUAAACAUAUCCUCCCAUGCUGUUGCAGCAGCUGUUUCCUGUGUCUCCCAACCCUACAAAAGCAACCUGAGUAAGGUGUCUGGUUUCUUGGACUCAGCAACCUAGCCAUAAAUCCUUAGCUGUCAUUCCUGUGCUGAAAGCUGUCAAGGGGCUGCUAGAGGAAAAAAAUUAUCCAUAGCUUCAGCCUUGCCUUCAGUCUAGACAUAUUCUCCUUACCUGGCAUGUUGUGGAAGUGAGAAGGUAUUCUGGAGUAUUCACUGAUGCUCCAUCUGGGAAUGAUGAUAAAUAGAAAAUAUUUGAGAACUGAAACUCAGCUCACAGCCCCUAAGUGCACCAGAGCAGCUCAGCACCUGCAGCCUCAGAAGCUGGGCUGGAAGAUAAGUCAAUUUUUUCAUACACUCUGUAAGGUUGUUAGCAGCCUCCUCAUUAUGGGAGAUAGUUUAGGUAGUGAAAUAAAAUGCAGGAAUCCAGGCUCUAAUGAACAGUGCGACAGAUCCGUGGACGGGAUAAACUAGGGUGGAUAAAUUGUAGCUACAGCAUCUGGGAGCAGAGGAGGAAAUAACAAAUGUACGGCCGUGGACUGAAGUGAGGUCUGUACUUAGAUGAAACAUAUUCCUUAGCAAUAUCAGGGCUGCUGUUGUGGACUCUAAAUGGGUUCCUGUGAUGAGCCCGAUCUUUGAUGGUAUUGGAUUAACAUCACUGCUCAUUCCAGCUUAUUAUGUGUCCUGCAGUACCUGUCAUGUCUCUGCCAUCUACUGCAAGUAAUGACUCCAGCAAUUAUGAAGGCUUUGUACGCCUGCAGAUCAGAAAUACUACCUCACACAGGGCAGACUUUCCUCCUCUCAGCACUGCAGAUUCUUACUCCACAUAGUGAUUUGGCUCUUUUUGUCUCCCUUUUCCUCUGCACCCGCUAGUUUGUGAAACAGCAGAAGCUUUACAGAAAAGAAAAGAAAAGGAAAAAAAAAAAAAAAAAAAAAAAAAAAAAAAAAAAAAAAAAAAAAAAAAAAACAA